rnacentral:rRNA from 1 species
CCUACGGGGGGCUGCAGUGAGGAAUAUUGGUCAAUGGACGCAAGUCUGAACCAGCCAUGCCGCGUGCAGGAAGACGGCUCUAUGAGUUGUAAACUGCUUUUGUACGAGGGUAAACGCAGAUACGCGUAUCUGUCUGAAAGUAUCGUACGAAUAAGGAUCGGCUAACUCCGUGCCAGCAGCCGCGGGAAUACGGAGGAUUCAAGCGUUAUCCGGAUUGAUUGGGUUUAAAGGGAGCGUAGGCGGUCGGAUAAGUUAGAGGUGAAAGCCCGAGGCUCAACUUCGGAAUUGCCUCUGAUACUGUUAGGCUAGAGAGUAGUUGCGGUAGGCGGAAUGUAUGGUGUAGCGGUGAAAUGCUUAGAGAUCAUACAGAACACCGAUUGCGAAGGCAGCUUACCAAGCUACGUCUGACGUUGAGGCACGAAAGCGUGGGGAGCAAACAGGAUUAGAUACCCUAGUAGUC